CCCUUAGAUGUUCUGGGCCGCACGCGCGCUACACUGAUGCAUUCAACGAGCCUAUCCUUGACCGACAGGUCCGGGUAAUCUUUGAAUCUGCAUCGUGACGGGGAUAGAUUAUUGCAAUUAUUAAUCUUCAACGAGGAAUGCCUAGUAGGCGCAAGUCAUCAGCUUGCGUCGAUUACGUCCCUGCCCUUUGUACACACCACCCGUCGCUCCUACCGAUUGGGUGUGCUGGUGAAAUGUUCGGAUCGGCCGUUUGUCGCGGUUUCCGCGGCUCGUGGCUGAGAAGUUCAUUAAACCCUCCCACCUAGAGGAAGGAGAAGUCGUAACA
rnacentral:rRNA from 1 species